GAGCUGAUGCCAGAAUGGUAAUUGGGAUUUUCUGUAAAAAAAUUGACAUGUUUGUCAGGGUAGGUUCGAUUCCUGCUCGGCUCA
rfam:Rhizoctonia solani strain AG-1 IB complete mitochondrial genome, isolate 7/3/14